GGGUUGUGAGGUUAAGCGACUAAGCGUACACGGUGGAUGCCCUGGCAGUCAGAGGCGAUGAAGGACGUGCUAAUCUGCGAAAAGCGUCGGUAAGGUGAUAUGAACCGUUAUAGCCGGCGAUGUCCGAAUGGGGAAACCCAGUGCAAUUCGUUGCACUAUCGUUAACUGAAUACAUAGGUUAACGAGGCGAACCGGGGGAACUGAAACAUCUAAGUACCCCGAGGAAAAGAAAUCAACCGAGAUUCCCCCAGUAGCGGCGAGCGAACGGGGAGCAGCCCAGAGUCUGAAUCAGCUUGUGUGUUAGUGGAACGGUCUGGAAAGUCCGACGGUACAGGGUGAUAGUCCCGUACACCAAAAUGCACAGGCUGUGAACUCGAAGAGUAGGGCGGGACACGUGGUAUCCUGUCUGAAUAUGGGGGGACCAUCCUCCAAGGCUAAAUACUCCUGACUGACCGAUAGUGAACCAGUACCGUGAGGGAAAGGCGAAAAGAACCCCGGCGAGGGGAGUGAAAAAGAACCUGAAACCGUGUACGUACAAGCAGUGGGAGCACCUUCGGGUGUGACUGCGUACCUUUUGUAUAAUGGGUCAGCGACUUAUAUUCUGUAGCAAGGUUAACCGUAUAGGGGAGCCGCAGGGAAACCGAGUCUUAACUGGGCGUUAAGUUGCAGGGUAUAGACCCGAAACCCGGUGAUCUAGCCAUGGGCAGGUUGAAGGUUGGGUAACACUAACUGGAGGACCGAACCGACUAAUGUUGAAAAAUUAGCGGAUGACUUGUGGCUGGGGGUGAAAGGCCAAUCAAACCGGGAGAUAGCUGGUUCUCCCCGAAAGCUAUUUAGGUAGCGCCUCGUGAACUCAUCUUCGGGGGUAGAGCACUGUUUCGGCUAGGGGGUCAUCCCGACUUACCAACCCGAUGCAAACUACGAAUACCGAAGAAUGUUAUCACGGGAGACACACGGCGGGUGCUAACGUCCGUCGUGAAGAGGGAAACAACCCAGACCGCCAGCUAAGGUCCCAAAGUCAUGGUUAAGUGGGAAACGAUGUGGGAAGGCACAGACAGCCAGGAUGUUGGCUUAGAAGCAGCCAUCAUUUAAAGAAAGCGUAAUAGCUCACUGGUCGAGUCGGCCUGCGCGGAAGAUGUAACGGGGCUAAACCAUGCACCGAAGCUGCGGCAGCGACACUAUGUGUUGUUGGGUAGGGGAGCGUUCUGUAAGCCUGCGAAGGUGUGCUGUGAGGCAUGCUGGAGGUAUCAGAAGUGCGAAUGCUGACAUAAGUAACGAUAAAGCGGGUGAAAAGCCCGCUCGCCGGAAGACCAAGGGUUCCUGUCCAACGUUAAUCGGGGCAGGGUGAGUCGACCCCUAAGGCGAGGCCGAAAGGCGUAGUCGAUGGGAAACAGGUUAAUAUUCCUGUACUUGGUGUUACUGCGAAGGGGGGACGGAGAAGGCUAUGUUAGCCGGGCGACGGUUGUCCCGGUUUAAGCAUGUAGGCUGAUUGUCCAGGCAAAUCCGGAUAAUCAAGGCUGAGGUGUGAUGACGAGGCACUACGGUGCUGAAGUAACAAAUGCCCUGCUUCCAGGAAAAGCCUCUAAGCAUCAGGUAACAUCAAAUCGUACCCCAAACCGACACAGGUGGUCAGGUAGAGAAUACCAAGGCGCUUGAGAGAACUCGGGUGAAGGAACUAGGCAAAAUGGUGCCGUAACUUCGGGAGAAGGCACGCUGGUGUGUAGGUGAAGUCCCUGCGGAUGGAGCUGAGACCAGUCGAAGAUACCAGCUGGCUGCAACUGUUUAUUAAAAACACAGCACUGUGCAAACACGAAAGUGGACGUAUACGGUGUGACGCCUGCCCGGUGCCGGAAGGUUAAUUGAUGGGGUUAUCCGUAAGGAGAAGCUCUUGAUCGAAGCCCCGGUAAACGGCGGCCGUAACUAUAACGGUCCUAAGGUAGCGAAAUUCCUUGUCGGGUAAGUUCCGACCUGCACGAAUGGCGUAAUGAUGGCCAGGCUGUCUCCACCCGAGACUCAGUGAAAUUGAACUCGCUGUGAAGAUGCAGUGUACCCGCGGCAAGACGGAAAGACCCCGUGAACCUUUACUAUAGCUUGACACUGAACAUUGAGCCUUGAUGUGUAGGAUAGGUGGGAGGCUUUGAAGCGUGGACGCCAGUCUGCGUGGAGCCAACCUUGAAAUACCACCCUUUAAUGUUUGAUGUUCUAACGUUGGCCCCUUACCGGGGUUGCGGACAGUGUCUGGUGGGUAGUUUGACUGGGGCGGUCUCCUCCCAAAGCGUAACGGAGGAGCACGAAGGUUAGCUAAUCCUGGUCGGACAUCAGGAGGUUAGUGCAAUGGCAUAAGCUAGCUUGACUGCGAGCGUGACGGCGCGAGCAGGUGCGAAAGCAGGUCAUAGUGAUCCGGUGGUUCUGAAUGGAAGGGCCAUCGCUCAACGGAUAAAAGGUACUCCGGGGAUAACAGGCUGAUACCGCCCAAGAGUUCAUAUCGACGGCGGUGUUUGGCACCUCGAUGUCGGCUCAUCACAUCCUGGGGCUGAAGUAGGUCCCAAGGGUAUGGCUGUUCGCCAUUUAAAGUGGUACGCGAGCUGGGUUUAGAACGUCGUGAGACAGUUCGGUCCCUAUCUGCCGUGGGCGCUGGAGAAUUGAGGGGGGCUGCUCCUAGUACGAGAGGACCGGAGUGGACGCAUCACUGGUGUUCGGGUUGUCAUGCCAAUGGCACUGCCCGGUAGCUAAAUGCGGAAGAGAUAAGUGCUGAAAGCAUCUAAGCACGAAACUUGCCCCGAGAUGAGUUCUCCCUGAGACUAUAAGUCUCCUGAAGGAACGUUAAAGACGAUGACGUUGAUAGGCCGGGUGUGUAAGCGCAGCGAUGCGUUGAGCUAACCGGUACUAAUGAACCGUGAGGCUUAACCUUACAACGCCGAAG
rnacentral:rRNA from 1 species